rnacentral:lncRNA from 1 species
UAUAUACUAUACUAUAAAAUAAAUAAUAAAAUCAGACAUAGAAAGAUAACCUCAAUGAAUAAUCCGUUUUAUGCAAAUAUUCUAAUCGCUAACUAUGACGUUUUCAUAAACAGACAAAUAAUGAUAUUAUUAAUAUAUUUCUAAUUCUUUCUUUACAAAUAAUUAUGCGUAAUAUAACGAAUAUUCUAUACAUUAACAUUUUCAAAAUUUAACAUCUUCUUCUCGAUAUCUUUCAAAUUCAUUCCUUUCAAAUCACAAUUCCAUUAUUACAAAUUAAUUACGAAAAUAAUCAAAAUGUUCGAUAAAAUCGAUUGCAUUGAAAUUUGACAAUUCAAAUUUACGAAAUGUAUAUUGUUACGUUACAUAAAAUCGCAAUAUAACGAAAAAUGAAUUUUUUUAUUAAUAUAUGUUCUCCAAAUUCAUUUUUAAUUCAAAUUAAACGAACCGAUAUCUAAUUAAGAUUAUUAGAAUUUCAUCAAACUCGAUUAAUUCAACAUAUUCGAAAUAAGUAUAGCGUUGCAUUCCAGCAAAUGUUAAUUACGAAGAUACCCAUCGAUCAUUACGAAUUUUUCCACUGGCUAUUUUCGAGAAAGAUAGUACAACACAUGUAAUUAAACGAGCCCCUGAACUUUACAACGCGUUAUCGAUCAACUCACCUGGUAGGCGCGGAAAAUGGCCGAUUAGAUCAUGGCCGACUAUACACAAGGUAAACAACUUCGGAUCGGAAGAUUUGCCAAUUAAUCAGGAGAAAUCAGUCAGUUUAUCCAAAUGGGGAACAUCAUUUUCCACGAAAACGCUUCGUAAUUAUGGAGAAUGAAGUAUAAAUGCAAGAGAAGAUUGUAGAAAGUAAUCGAAUCGUUGAAUUCAGUGACUCCUUUUUACUAUUUAUCCGGUGAAAUUUGCUCGAUGUUCCACAUAUUUUUCACCGAUCGCAUGCUUAUCGCAAAUGGCGUACAUAAUACAAACAAAAUUUUCGAACGAAUCGAAAUUUCUUACGACUCGGAUGAAAAAAAGGUAAUGCAUUAAUAAUUCAAAUUCAUUAGCACAAUGUUUUGCAUUCUGCAACCAAGCAGAAACGUCUAUGCUUUUCCACAUCGUUUGCAUAAUUGUAAAAAAGAAGUAUAGAAAUAAAUGAAGAGGAAAAUAUAUCAAGCAUCAUCGAUGCGUGACCUCUUUGUUUAAUCAAACAGGUCUUCCCUCCUUGGCUUAAAAGGUAUUGUACACUGUUGAAUGAGUUGUAUCUAUUCGUAACAGAAAGAUUAAUCGAAUCGAAUGUUGAGUAAUUGACAAAGCAUAUGUUGAAUUUUUGACGAAUAAUUUUUAAAUAACAAAUAUUAGGAUGUUCAAUAUUAAUCUGAUAAUCAUCAUGAUUGAUCAAUCGAGAUACUCUACUCUAAGAGCUUAUUUGCGUUCUCGAAUCGUUUUGAGAUUAUUAUACAACUUUUCAAGGCGAAAUUUUCUUCCAGUCUUCAUCUUAUCUAUAUCCCUUUCACUUCACAGGCAUAAAAUAUAUCUUAUUGACAAAUUAAACAUGGAAAUUUUUAGCAUUUUAGGGAAGGAUAAUUGAUGCAGCGAUUAAAAUAUUGGAUAUAUAUUUAAUCAACAUUUCUUUAAUAAAAAAAAUCCUCGUUUUCAUAACAAAAUAACAAAAUCAAUCGCAAUCGAAAUAAAUCGGAUAAAUCGGCGAGGAAAAAUAAAGGAGGCUCGCGUUUAGGUGGAUUAAUGGGGACAUUAGUCGAAUAGAUUAAUCGACAAAACGGAAAAAUACUCGAACAAUAAUAAAGUACAGUGGCGAUUGAUCGAUUGGCAUUCGAUUUACAUCAAGGUUAUAAAUAAUAGACCGAAUCGAAAUUACUCUACACGAUCGAUCGAUCUCCAUUUUCACGAUGUUCUUUUGAACUUUGAAUCUAUCGAUUGCGAACUAUAAUAAAACGUGUGAACUUACGAUCAAUAUUGUUUAUAUUCGCAUAAGUUGUAUCUAAUGAAUUUAUUUUCAAUCAUAAUCAUGAUCGAGCCAAACAAGAGGAAUUGAAAUUUUAAAAAAAUUCUAUGAAUUUUCCAAAGUACAAACCCCUUAAAAAAAAAAGAAAAUCAAAUGUUCAAAUCGAAAUAAAAUUAAACACGUACAUGCGCUAACGCGUAUCUAUCGAUAAGAGGAAUAAAAAUAUUAUAAAAGAAAGUUGUUGUGCUGUGAAAUGCGUGCGUGUUACGACGCAUGAUGCAGAUUGUUCGAUUGUUCCGAGGAAAUGGGUCAAUUAAGUAUACGAUCCGAUAAGUGAAAAAAAAAGAAGGUGAAAAUCUUCGAAUCAAAUGUUUAGAUCGAAAUAAAAUUAAAUAAAAACGUACACACGUACGUACGUAUGCGCUAUCUAUAAGAUAAGAGGGAUAAAAAUAUUGUAAAAGAAAGUUGUUGUGCUGUGUGAAACAGAAUGUGUGUACGUGUUACGACGCGUUGCAGAUUGUUCAAAUGUUUCCGAGGAAAUAGGUCAAUUGUAUCUGAUACACUUAUCGCGAUCUAGAAAUCAUCGAGUUCACGUAUGGCACGCGUGUUGAACGCGGGAUCAAUUACACAAAUUCGAUCGGUGUUUAAUCGAAUGAUCGGAUCAAAGGAUGAUCGUCUUUUCUCACUCGUGCGACAUUUUAAAUAAAAAUUAUAAUACCGGUGAUUUAAACGAGAUAUACAAGGAUUUCUAAAUCACUUGGCGCUGUUUAGAUCUUUCCUGGAAAUUGAGGAAACAUUAUAUAAAAUUGUACAGAGAUUAAAAUUUAUAAUCGAUAAGGAGAUAAGCAGCGUAUACUCGAGACGAGAAUCCAUUCACGAACGAUGUCUGUAUUUUAAGAUAACACGAUGUAGACGUCCCUUUCGAUUCAAUUUAGAAUUUGAUCGAAUAGAUACGAUACGAUCGUUACGAAAAAUUAUAUUUUCGAUUCUUCUUUUCUGUUCUCUGUAGAUUCUUCUUGUAGAUUCUUACAGAUUGUAUAAUUGUCUAAUGCAUGUUCUUCGUUUCUAAUAAAAAUAAUUGGCUACUUGUUAUAAGUGUAACAAUGGGUGGACAGUUUCUGGACAGUGUCUGAGAGCACGAGUCACGAGAUUCGAUAAGACUUGACAAAAUACUCUCGUGACCUGAUGAAUGAAUCAUCAACGGUUUCUGAAAAUGAUACGAUCGAUAGGAACAGAAAUUCUAUUGUUGUUUCCUCGUGACGCAACUUUUUUUUUUUUAGAUUCAAAUUUAAACAUUAACUCGAUAGAUUCGAGAAAUAAAUUAAUUUUUACUUUUCUGAAACACGAUUACAAGAUCCGAAAGAGGAAAGUAUAAUUCGAAAUGAAAUGAGAUCGUGUCGAUAUUAAUUAGAUAAUUGGCUCUACGUUGAAAAAAGAUAAAGUUCAGAAAAUUGAUCCAGGUUCGAUCAGAAAAGUGAAAGAUAGUAAAGAAGAAGAAAAAAAGAAGAGAUAUUGAGAAAUUGCGUGAGAAAAGAAAAGAAUGAACUGAUACACGAUACAAUUAGAAAUUGAAGAAUAAAUACUGAAAUAGGUAUCUUUGAUAUUAUAUACAUACAUACAAUAUCUGCGGUUAAUUGUUAAUCUUGCCUACACGAUUCUUGAAGACCUGUAUUAUAAUGCAAAAAUCCAAAAAACGUUGUUGUUGUUAUCGAAAUGAUUGCUCGUAUAGAAAAUAAUUACAACGACAGCAAGGGAUUUAUUAUAAAGAAAUAGGGAAACAAAAUCUGACAGAGGGUUUAAAAAUACGAGGCGAGCGAUAAGAGGAAUUGAAGAACGCGUAAAAAAAGUGUAGUGGUUUAAUUGAUCGAGCGUUCUGUACCUUCUAAACGAACUCUAUCCUCAAUUACAACUUGUACAAUUUAUCUAACGCGCACAGUUGUCGCGGAGAAGAAAAUAGAGUUUUUUACGCCGAGCCAGUGUUAAUUACAAAGUUCAAGUCUGCAAUAAUUCUGGAUGUCGAUAACAAUGUCGAUGUACAGAUGGAUGAAAAUUUUUCGUCUCGAAGAAGGAAGAAGAGGGGCGACAAAUUUGAGAAUAGAAAUCGUUUGAUUUCCGCCGAGUGCCGAGUUUUCAUGACGAACCGGCGUGAUGGUGAUAAGUGGCAAAAAGAGAAGCCCGAUAUAAAUAUGUUUAUCAGCCGUUGCAGAGGAUAUCGAUAUCGCGAGCCAGGGUACCAGGCGAAUUAUCUUGCUUUCUUCGCUACUCUCGGACGUUUUAUUCAGGCACAUGAUUGAUAACGAUAGAAUGACUAAUAACGCAAGAUGUGUUAUGUGUGUAAUCAAAAAAACAAGAGGAGAAGAGUGCGGAUAUUGAUAUAAAAUUUAACGAAUAAAUUUGAAGAAAAAAAAAAAAGGAAUUUACUUUGAAAUUUUAUCUCAAUGAAAUUCGAUAUUUGAAGAAACUGUACGUUAAAUCUUUGAUAAAUUGAGAAACGCAUUUUUGGAGCGAUAAAAAUUUGUGCAAGGAUUUCUCGCAAGAGUAUGGUGACGAUACGAUUAAUUGUGAUAAAUAUUCUUUUUAUAGAAAGGCACGUGAAAGCGAUUCUCACUGGCAUGCAACAGAAAAUCGCUAUAUUUAAAUAUGAACGUCAAUUUUCUAGGAACAGAAAACAUUGUUGUCAGAAUGUAAUUAAAAUGUAAAUUAAAAUGUCCAUCAUAUUACUGUCUUGAAUUGUAAAGUUGUUGCCUAUUAUAUAUCAUUAUAAAUGUUGUUAAAGAAGAAGAAGGAUUCGAGAAUAAAAGUAUUUCGAACUGCGCUGCGAUUGAAAAUCAAAUAUUAUUUUAUAAUAUUGAAAGGGAAACGGAAAGAAAACGGGAUAAAUUUCAGCAAUAAGCAAUAAUAAAAAGCAAAUAUUCUUAAUUAAAACGAUGUUCAAAUUAAAACAAAUAUUUUAAAUGGCAAAUCUAUUUUAAAUCUAUUUUAAAUUUAAAUGAGAUAGAAUUAUUGAUGUUCAGUGAAAGAGAA